UACGUAGGGGGCAAGCGUUGUCCGGAUUUAUGGUGCGUAAAGAGCGUGUAGGCGGCCAGGUAGGUCUGGUGUGAAAACUCGAGGCUUAACCUCGAGAUGUCAUCGGAAACCAUCUGGCUAGAGUCCGGAAGAGGAGAGUGGAAUUCCUGGUGUAGCGGUGAAAUGCGCAGAUAUCAGGAAGAACACCAAUGGCGAAAGCAGCUCUCUGGGACGGUACUGACGCUGAGACGCGAAAGCGUGGGGAGCGAACAGG
rnacentral:rRNA from 1 species